rnacentral:rRNA from 1 species
GAGGUAACGGCUCACCAAGGCAACGAUGCUUAGCUGGUCUGAGAGGACGAUCAGCCACACUGGGACUGAGACACGGCCCAGAUUCCUGCGGGAGGCAGCAGUGGGGAAUCUUGCGCAAUGGGCGAAAGCCUGACGCAGCAACGCCGCGUGAGCGAAGAAGGCCUUCGGGUUGUAAAGCUCUGUCCGGAGGGACGAAGCCACUCGGGUUAAUAGCCCAGAGGGUGACGGUACCUCCAGAGGAAGGUCCGGCUAACUACGUGCCAGCAGCCGCGGUAAUACGUAGGGACCUAGCGUUGUCCGGAAUUAUUGGGCGUAAAGAGCGUGUAGGCGGCUUGCCAAGUCCGAUGUGAAAACUCGGGGCUUAACCCCGAGCGUGCAUUGGAAACUGACAGGCUUGAGUCCGGAAGAGGGGACUGGAAUUCCUGGUGUAGCGGUGAAAUGCGCAGAUAUCAGGAAGAACACCCGUGGCGAAGGCGGGUCCCUGGGACGGUACUGACGCUGAGACGCGAAAGCGUGGGGAGCGAACAGGAUUAGAUACCCUGGUAGUCCACGCCGUAAACGAUGGGCACUAGGUGUGGGAGGUGUCGACUCCUCCCGUGCCGUAGCUAACGCAUUAAGUGCCCCGCCUGGGGAGUACGGCCGCAAGGCUAAA